rnacentral:rRNA from 1 species
AGUGAACGCUGGCGGUAGGCCUAAUACAUGCAAGUCGAACGGCAGCACAGUAAGAGCUUGCUUUUACGGGUGGCGAGUGGCGGACGGGUGAGGAAUACAUCGGAAUCUACUUUUACGUGGGGGAUAACGUAGGGAAACUUACGAUAAUAGAGAAUAUGACCUACGGGUGAAAGCAGGGGAUCAUGGGAGCUUGCGCGAUAGAAUGAGCCGAUGUCGGAUUAGCUAGUUGGCGGGGUAAAGGACCACCAAGGCGACGAUCCGUAGCUGGCCUGAGAGGAUGAUCAGCCACACUGGAACUGAGACACGGUCCAGACUCCUACGGGAGGCAGCAGUGGGGAAUAUUGCGCAAUGGGCGCAAGCCUGACCCAGCCAUGCCGCGUGGGUGAUGAAGGCCUUCGGUUUGUAAAGCCCUUUUAUUGGGAAAGAAAAGCUGCGUAUUAAACCCCCCCUGUUCUGACGGUACCCAAUGAAUAGGCACCGGCUAACUUCGUG